GCCCUGUGGACAGCUCAGUCAGUAGUGCAUGAGACUCUUAAUCUCUUGGUCAUGGGUUUGAGCCCCACGUUGGGCA